AGAACGAACGCUGGCGGCAGGCUUAACACAUGCAAGUCGAGCGCCCCGCAAGGGGAGCGGCGGACGGGUGAGUAACACGUGGGAACAUGCCUUUUGGUACGGAACAACUCAGGGAAACUUGAGCUAAUACCGUAUGUGCCGGUAACGGGAAAGAUUUAUCGCCAAAAGAGUGGCCCGCGUCCGAUUAGCUAGUUGGUGAGGUAACGGCCCACCAAGGCUCCGAUCGGUAGCUGGUUUGAGAGAACGACCAGCCACACUGGGACUGAGACACGGCCCAGACUCCUACGGGAGGCAGCAGUGGGGAAUCUUGGACAAUGGGGGCAACCCUGAUCCAGCCAUGCCGCGUGAGUGAUGAAGGCCUUCGGGUUGUAAACUCUUUCGACGGGGACGAUAAUGACGGUACCCGUAGAAGAAGCUCCGGCUAACUUCGCGCCAGCAGCCGC
rnacentral:rRNA from 1 species